ACUGUCUAACGUCUGAUCCGAAGGAAUGAAAGUCUCGUCUAAUCGUGAUAUUAAUCGAGAUCGGUGGGACUUUCGUUCGUUUGGAAGAGACGACAUAUCAC